rnacentral:rRNA from 1 species
UACGUAGGUGACAAGCGUUGUCCGGAUUUACUGGGCGUAAAGAGCGCGCAGGCGGUCGUUCAAGUCGAGUGUGAAAGCCCCCGGCUCAACUGGGGAGGGUCACUCGAUACUGAUCGACUUGAAGGCAGGAGAGGGUAGUGGAAUUCCCGGUGUAGUGGUGAAAUGCGUAGAUAUCGGGAGGAACACCAGUGGCGAAGGCGACUACCUGGCCUGUUCUUGACGCUGAGGCGCGAAAGCGUGGGGAGCAAACAGGG